GGGAAGACUUGGACAGAUUGCAAAUGACGGGAUACUUCGGGUGCCCUCCCAGGAGUGCGGUUAGAUCCUGUGCAACGCGUCUGCAGUCUUCGACAACCUCACCAACGACAUACACUACUGGGACUACUAUGUGGAGUGGGAGAUGCCCAAAGAAGCUAAGGCAGAUGAAGCAAUAUUCCAGAUGGGCAGAGACUACCAGCUCCCUCAUUCCUACCUUGUGUUCCGGCACUUCAGGUCCAACUUGACGGGGAUGUACAAGUGCCGCCUCCUCUUCCGACAAGCUCAAGUUGGCUCACACAUCGUCCAUCUUUCUCUGGAUGAAUCCACCCACUCCUCCCGCAUCUGCCCCCACUAGCCCAAACCUUCACCUCCU